UCAGUAAGAAAAGGAUGAUCAGUGUGAGA
rnacentral:piRNA from 1 species